CGCGGCUUAUUUUGUCCCAAUUGGGAUGCCGUACGACUUCCGCUGCUGAAGGCUCAUCUCCAUCGUCUUGGAAUAAACCUUAUUGCAUCUUGUUGUAUCUUGUUGUCGUCGAGAGAUUCACAUUGUUUACAGAAAUGCUGCAAGUAGGAAAGCGCAGUUUUUGCAAAGAAUAGUCUUUUUUUUCGCGCCAGAGACCGAAAAAUUAAAAUGGCGUAAAACGAUGGAGUUUUGCAGUCGCGAUUCUAAGAUUAUAGAGAACUCUUUGGCUGUAAUUCACUUUUGCAAGUUGUUGCUGACAUAAAUGCCUGGACGCGUUUAUCGUGAAUGGAGCAAAUCCACUUGGAGUCGUGAUCUCUGAACAAUUCCGAGAGCUUUGUUUGCCCUGAUCUAGAAGAGAUUUAUUGCACCGUACGAGCCACCAAGACGACUCCAGUGAUGAGACGCGGUUGAGCUGACAACGAAACGAAGAUGAACAGAAAAA